ACCUGGCUGGCUCAGUCAGAAGAGCAUGGGAUUUUUGAUCUCGGGGUCAUGAGUUCGAGCCCCAUGUUGGGUA
rfam:Ailuropoda melanoleuca scaffold619_58, whole genome shotgun sequence.